rnacentral:rRNA from 1 species
UACGAGAGGCCCAAACGUUAUUCGGAAUUACUGGGCUUAAAGAGUUCGUAGGCGGCGCAGAAAGUAGGGUGUGAAAGCCCUCGGCUCAACCGAGGAAUUGCGCUCUAAACUACUGUGCUUGAGGAAGCUAGAGGUGAGCGGAACUGAUGGUGGAGCGGUGAAAUGCGUUGAUAUCAUCAGGAACACCGGAGGCGAAGGCGGCUCACUGGGGCUUUUCUGACGCUGAGGAACGAAAGCUAGGGGAGCAAACGGG